rnacentral:tRNA from 2 species
GGCGAGUUACCCAAGUGGCCAAAGGGAUCUGACUGUAAAUCAGACUGCAUCGCAUUCGAGGGUUCGAAUCCCCCACUCGCCACCA